rnacentral:rRNA from 1 species
AUUGAACGCUGGCGGCAGGCCUAACACAUGCAAGUCGAGCGGAGCGGCGGACGGGUGAGUAAUGCCUAGGACUCUGCCUGGUAGUGGGGGAUAACGUCCGGAACCGGGCGCUAUUACCGCAUCCUCUCAGAUGAGCCUAGGUCGGAUUAGCUAGUUGGGGGGGUAAAGGCCUACCAAGGCGACGAUCCGUAACUGGUCUGAGAGGAUGAUCAGUCACACUGGAACUGAGACACGGUCCAGACUCCUAUGGGAGGCAGAAGUGGGGAAUAUUGGACAAUGGGCGAAAGCCUGAUGCAGCCAUGACGCGUGUGUGAAGAAGGUCUUCGGAUUGUAAAGUACUUUAAGUUGGGAGGCGUUACCAGCAGAAUAAGCACCGGCUAACUUCGUGCCAGCAGCCGCGGUAAUUC